GAUUGAACGCUGCGCAGGCCUAACACAUGCAAGUCGAACGGUAGCACAGAGGAGCUUGCUCCUUGGGUGACGAGUGGCGGACGGGUGAGUAAUGUCUGGGAAACUGCCCGAUGGAGGGGGAUAACUACUGGAAACGGUAGCUAAUACCGCAUAACGUCGCAAGACCAAAGAGGGGGACCUUCGGGCCUCUUGCCAUCGGAUGUGCCCAGAUGGGAUUAGCUAGUAGGUGGGGUAACGGCUCACCUAGGCGACGAUCCCUAGCUGGUCUGAGAGGAUGACCAGCCACACUGGAACUGAGACACGGUCCAGACUCCUACGGGAGGCAGCAGUGGGGAAUAUUGCACAAUGGGCGCAAGCCUGAUGCAGCCAUGCCGCGUGUAUGAAGAAGGCCUUCGGGUUGUAAAGUACUUUCAGCGAGGAGGAAGGCAUUAAGGUUAAUAACCUUAGUGAUUGACGUUACUCGCAGAAGGAGCACCGGCUAACUCCGUG
rnacentral:rRNA from 1 species